AAUUAAAUAUUUAAGGGGAUAGUAGAUAACAGUCAUUCCCAGAGAACUGAUGGCUGGUGAAAAUCAGUAGGUGACUUUACCGAAUUCCACCCCUCAAUAAUUUUCUGGUGAAAUAGAGUAUCCAGAGACGCACUAUAGUGUGUUAAAAAAUAGCCAAUGAAGGAUAGGAUGUUCCUAUUAAAAUAGGGUGGCACCACGUGAGUAAGCUCUCGUCCCUGGU
rnacentral:ncRNA from 1 species